UAUUGCUUUCAGACAAUUAACGAAUAUCCCAUAGCACAAGUUCAUAGAGUCAAAAGUCAGAAUUUUGAUUGGUAGGCAUUUAAAAUACAUGGAGAGAUUGUUGAGCUUUUUAGAUUAUCCACCAUUUCAAAACGUGUUAUGAGCCUGGAUGCCAUGAAAACAUAGUGUGUAAACUUGAGUUCCAAUAUGAAUCUAGCAUUGUUAUGGGAAAGUCCAAAAUUAAAAGAUUAAUUCCUUGUGUUCCCGAACUCCAGUGCCUGAACUAUCCCAGAAAUAGUAAGAGACGAAGUUCUCAUCAGCUAGGCAAAUAAAGCUUAGAGCAUCAAACCAAAGCAUCGACCCACAUGCUAGUUUGCCUUCUUUUAGGGGGUGGGGAGAAAAUGGAUGUUUGUUGUCCCACUUGUAGCCAUCAAAUAUUUUAUACAAUAAAAAGAAAUCAAAACGACCUCAAGAACAGCAACUGUUUAUUUUGCAUCAAUGCCCUCCUUUUCCUUUGCUCCUUGUGUACAUUUCCUUAACACCAAUGAACUCUUGUUUGUGUGCAUUACUGGAUUUCAUGUUAGAAAACAGGCCUUGAAUUGCCUUAUCCACGCAGCAGAAACAGAGAAGUUUAUAAAUUUCCUUGUGUUUAAUGCAAUGAAGGAAGAAUGAAAAAGAAAUUGGCAUCACCAAUCGACAAGUUCCUUGUGCACGUGCCUUCUUUAGUUUUUAGCCAAAACUAUCUGGAGUACUGAGAAUGAAAGACCUUACAGCUAAGUCAUGUUUGUUCUAAGGAACUGCAUUUUUCAUUUUGACUUCAAUGAAAAAUGCCAACUUUGGAACUUGGAACUUUAAUGAUGACAAGUCUUUGUAUUGUUGUACUUCUGUUAAUCAAAAUUCCGAAAUUGGAUAGGUGUCAAGAUACCUAGUUGUUGAAAAUUGUAAAUCACUUUUGCUGGGAAACUCUACUAGUAUUUUCCUGAGUUGUGACAAUCUGCUAAACAAGCUACUGAUAGUCAGGAAUUCUCUUGUUUGUUUCCUUUCCCAAACCUUCACAUAUAUAACCUACUAACCUUUGAUUAUGCAUGUUUCCAGGUAAAACUCAGGAAACAAUAUUCACAGUGUGUGAGAGCUUUCUUUCCUCUUGUAAUUGCAGGAAACGAUAUCCACAUAUUUGAUGCAGCAACGCAAAAAUUGCUCCUUUUGUCUUUGUUUCAACAAUAGUUGAAUACCAUCAAAAACCUACAAUCCAUACGGUGUCAUACAGGGGCCAGCAUCACAAGGGACAACGUGAAGAAUACAUAUAAUUCAUACUUAGACAAGGGUAAGAAACGAGUUGGCUGUUAAUGUAAUCCCUGGAUAUACAUGAAAAUAGCCACACUUGGCAUAUCCAGAUUUGUGUACUCUUGUUGAAUUGUUAUCUCCUUGUUGAGUCCUUAAAUGUGCUUUCGUUAGUAAUUUGGUUUCA